rnacentral:rRNA from 1 species
UACGUAGGGGGCAAGCGUUAUCCGGAUUUACUGGGUGUAAAGGGAGCGCAGGCGGCGUGGCAAGUCAGAUGUGAAAACCCGGGGCCCAACCCCCGGGGAGUGCAUUUGAAACUGCCAUGCUGGAGUGCCGGAGAGGUAAGCGGAAUUCCUAGUGUAGCGGUGAAAUGCGUAGAUAUUAGGAGGAACACCAGUGGCGAAGGCGGACCUACUGGACGG